UACGUAGGGUGCAAGCGUUAAUCGGAAUUACUGGGCGUAAAGCGUGCGCAGGCGGUUGUGCAAGACCGAUGUGAAAUCCCCGGGCUUAACCUGGGAAUGGCAUUGGUGACUGUACGGCUAGAGUGUGUCAGAGGGGGGUAGAAUUCCACGUGUAGCAGUGAAAUGCGUAGAGAUGUGGAGGAGUACCGAUGGCGAAGGCAGCCCCCUGGGAUAACACUGACGCUCAUGCACGAAAGCGUGGGGAGCAAACAGG
rnacentral:rRNA from 1 species